UACCUACCCUUGACAUGCCACUAACGAAGCAGAGAUGCGGNUAGGUGCUCGAAAGAGAAAGUGGACACAGGUGCUGCAUGGCUGUCGUCAGCUCGUGUCGUGAGAUGUUGGGUUAAGUCCCGCAACGAGCGCAACCCUUGUCUCUAGUUGCUACGAAAGGGCACUCUAGAGAGACUGCCGGUGACAAACCGGAGGAAGGUGGGGAUGACGUCAAGUCCUCAUGGCCCUUAUGGGUAGGGCUUCACACGUCAUACAAUGGUGCAUACAGAGGGUUGCCAAGCCGCGAGGUGGAGCUAAUCCCAGAAAAUGCAUCGUAGUCCGGAUCGUAGUCUGCAACUCGACUACGUGAAGCUGGAAUCGCUAGUAAUCGCGGAUCAGCAUGCCGCGGUGGAUACGUUCCCGGGUCUUGUACACACCGCCCGUCACACCAUGGGAGUGGGCUUUACCAGAAGUAGUUAGCCUAACCGCAAGGAGGGCGAUUACCACGGUAGGGUUCAUGACUGGGGUG
rnacentral:rRNA from 1 species